rnacentral:ncRNA from 1 species
AGGUGUUGUGUUGAUUAGAGAUUAAAUCUUCUGCUCUUUAGAUUAGCUGAGGGGCAGGCUCUGGCUUCCCACUCUGAAGCUUGCCUAGUAGUCUUAAGAACAUU